rnacentral:rRNA from 1 species
AUUGAACGCUGGCGGCAGGCUUAACACAUGCAAGUCGAGCGGAGAUGAGGUGCUUGCACCUUAUCUUAGCGGCGGACGGGUGAGUAAUGCUUAGGAAUCUGCCUAUUAGUGGGGGACAACAUUCCGAAAGGAAUGCUAAUACCGCAUACGCCCUACGGGGGGAAAGCAGGGGAUCUUCGGACCUUGCGCUAAUAGAUGAGCCUAAGUCGGAUUAGCUAGUUGGUGGGGUAAAGGCCUACCAAGGCGACGAUCUGUAGCGGGUCUGAGAGGAUGGUCCGUCACACUGGGACUGAGACACGGCCCAGACUCCUACGGGAGGCAGCAGUGGGGAAUAUUGGACAAUGGGCGGAAGCCUGAUCCAGCCAUGCCGCGUGUGUGAAGAAGGCCUUUUGGUUGUAAAGCACUUUAAGCGAGGAGGAGGCUACCUGGAUUAAUACUCUAGGAUAGUGGACGUUACUCGCAGAAUAAGCACCGGCUAACUCUGUGCCAGCCGCCGCCGUAAAAC